UACGUAGGUGGCAAGCGUUGUCCGGAAUUACUGGGCGUAAAGGGCGCGCAGGCGGCUCUGAAAGUCAGAUGUGAAAGCCCCGGGCUUAACCUGGGAACUGCAUUUGAUACUCUGGAGCUUGAGUACGGGAGAGGAGAGUGGAAUUCCCAGUGUAGAGGUGAAAUUCGUAGAUAUUGGGAAGAACACCGGUGGCGAAGGCGGCUCUCUGGACAGUAACUGACGCUGAGGCGCGAAAGCGUGGGGAGCAAACAGG
rnacentral:rRNA from 1 species